UGGGGAAUAUUGGACAAUGGGGGAAACCCUGAUCCAGCCAUGCCGCGUGAGUGAUGAAGGCCUUCGGGUUGUAAAGCUCUUUUGGUGGGGACGAUGAUGACGGUACCCACAGAAUAAGCUCCGGCUAACUUCGUGCCAGCAGCCGCGGUAAUACGAAGGGAGCUAGCGUUGUUCGGAAUUACUGGGCGUAAAGGGCGCGUAGGCGGUCCGAUAAGUCAGAUGUGAAAGCCCUGGGCUUAACCCGGGAACUGCGUUUGAUACUAUCGGUCUUGAAUUCGGUAGAGGUUGGUAGAAUUCCCAGUGUAGAGGUGAAAUUCGUAGAGAUUGGGAAGAAUACCCGUGGCGAAGGCGGCCAACUGGACCGACAUUGACGCUGAGGCGCGAAAGCGUGGGGAGCAAACA
rnacentral:rRNA from 1 species